rnacentral:rRNA from 1 species
AGAAUAUUGCACAAUGGACGAAAGUCUGAUGCAGCGACACCGCGUGAGGGAUGAAGGUUUUAGGAUCGUAAACCUCUUUUAUUAGGGAAUAGUAAGGAAGGUACCUAAUGAAUAAGGUACGGCUAACUACGUGCCAGCAGCCGCGGUAAUACGUAGGUACCGAACGUUGUCCGGAAUCACUGGGCGUAAAGGGUCCGUAGGCGGUUUGAUAAGUCUCAUAUGAAAACUUCAAGCUUAACUUGGAGAGGUUGUGAGAUACUGUCAAACUAGAGACUGUUAGAGGUAAGUGGAAUUCCAGGUGUAGUGGUGAAAUGCGUAGAUAUCUGGAGGAACACCAGUGGCGAAAGCGACUUACUGGGACAGUUCUGACGCUAAGGGACGAAAGCGUGGGGAGCGAACCGGAUUAGAUACCCGGGUAGUCCACGCCGUAAACGAUGAUUGCUAGGUUUUCGGGGCAUCGACCCCUUGUGAGCCGAAGUUAACGCGUUAAGCAAUCCGCCUGAGUAGUACGGCCGCAAGGCUAAAACUCAAAGAAAUUGACGGGGGACCGCACAAGCAGCGGAGCGUGUGGUUUAAUUCGAUGGUAAGCGAAGAACCUUACCAGGGUUUGACAUGUAAGUAGUACUGAACCGAAAGGGGAUGGACCCGCAAGGGAGCUUACACAGGUGUUGCAUGGUUGUCGUCAGCUCGUGCCGUGAGGUGUUGGGUUAAGUCCCGCAACGAGCGCAACCCUCUUUGUUAGUUGCACUCUCUAACGAUACUGCCCUUAAAAGGGAGGAAGGUGGGGAUGACGUCAAAUCAUCAUGGCUCUUACACCCUGGGCUACACACACGCUACAAUGGCAAGUACAGACGGUCGCCAACCCGCGAGGGGGAGCCAAUCCGAUAAAACUUGUCUCAGUUGGGAUUGUAGGCUGAAAUUCGCCUACAUGAACGUGGAGUUGCUAGUAAACGCAGGUCAGCACACUGCGUUGAAUACGUUC